ACCUAGAGCUGCAUCCUCAGAAUUGAAGCUUAAAUUCUCCAACCAGAGAAAAAGACAGAAUCUUCAGCUUCGCUACUGCUGGGAUUUUAGGAGGAUCUAAAGGGCAAUGAGCAUGCACAUGGAGCCCAGCUGUGUCACAACUGAAGAACCCGGACUGCCUGUUUUGACCCGGUGCUGCUAACACAUUGACAUAAAGCCCCACAAGGCUCCUUCCUUACUUCUACUGCAUCAGCAUGAGGGACCUGCCCAGACGAGCCAUGAGAUCCUUUCC
rnacentral:lncRNA from 1 species